AGAGUUUGAUCCUGGCUCAGGAUGAACGCUAGCGGCAGGCUUCAUACAUGCAAGUCGAGGGGCAGCAUAAAUUACUUGUAAUUUGAUGGCGACCGGCGAACGGGUGCGUAACGCGUAUGCAACUUACCUUUUACUAGAGAAUAGCCAAGAGAAAUUUUGAUUAAUGCUCUAUACACUUAUUUUUUCUCAUGAAUUUAUAAGAAAAGCUCCGGCGGUAAAAGAUGGGCAUGCGUCCUAUUAGCUUGUAGGUGAGGUAAUGGCUCACCUAAGCUCCGAUAGGUAGGGGUCCUGAGAGGGAGAUCCCCCACACUGGUACUGAGACACGGACCAGACUUCUACGGAAGGCAGCAGUAAGGAAUAUUGGACAAUGGAGGCAACUCUGAUCCAGCCAUGCCGCGUGAAGGAAGACGGCCUUAUGGGUUGUAAACUUCUUUUAUACAGGAAGAAACCUUUCCACGUGUGGAAAGCUGACGGUACUGUAAGAAUAAGGAUCGGCUAACUCCGUGCCAGCAGCCGCGGUAAUACGGAGGAUCCAAGCGUUAUCCGGAAUUAUUGGGUUUAAAGGGUCCGCAGGCUGUUUGUUAAGUCAGAGGUGAAAUCCUACCGCUCAACGGUAGAACUGCCUUUGAUACUGGCAAACUUGAGUUAUUGUGAAGUAGUUAGAAUGUGUAGUGUAGCGGUGAAAUGCAUAGAUAUUACACAGAAUACCGAUUGCGAAAGCAGAUUACUAACAAUAUACUGACGCUGAGGGACGAAAGCGUGGGUAGCGAACAGGAUUAGAUACCCUGGUAGUCCACGCCGUAAACGAUGGUCACUAGCUGUUUGAUGUACAUUGGUACAUUGAGUGGCUAAGCGAAAGUGAUAAGUGACCCACCUGGGGAGUACGCUCGCAAGAGUGAAACUCAAAGGAAUUGACGGGGGCCCGCACAAGCGGUGGAGCAUGUGGUUUAAUUCGAUGAUACGCGAGGAACCUUACCAGGACUUAAAUGUAAGUUGCAUGAUUCAGAAAUGGAUCUUUCUUCGGACUACUUACAAGGUGCUGCAUGGUUGUCGUCAGCUCGUGCCGUGAGGUGUCAGGUUAAGUCCUAUAACGAGCGCAACCCCUAUCGUUAGUUGCCAUCAAGUAAAGUUGGGAACUCUAGCGAAACUGCCGGUGCAAACCGUGAGGAAGGUGGGGAUGACGUCAAAUCAUCACGGCCCUUACGUUCUGGGCUACACACGUGCUACAAUGGCCGGUACAGAAAGCAGCCACUAUGCGAAUAGGAGCUAAUCUUCAAAGCCGGUCUCAGUUCGGAUCGCAGUCUGCAACUCGACUGCGUGAAGCUGGAAUCGCUAGUAAUCGGAUAUCAGCCAUGAUCCGGUGAAUACGUUCCCGGGCCUUGUACACACCGCCCGUCAAGCCAUGGAAGCUGGGGGUACCUAAAGUCGGUGACCGAAAGGAGCCGCCUAGGGUAAAACUAGUAACUGGGGCUAAGUCGUAACAAGGUA
rnacentral:rRNA from 1 species